rnacentral:rRNA from 1 species
CCCUUAGAUGUUCUGGGCCGCACGCGCGCUACAAUGGCAAACUCAGCGAGUCUCCUUUACCGACAGGUAUAGGAAAUCUUUUCAGUGUUUGCCGUGAUGGGGCUAGACCCUUGUAAUUAUUGGUCUCCAACGAGGAAUUCCUAGUAAACGCAGGUCAUUAACCUGCAUUGAUUACGUCCCUGCCCUUUGUACACACCGCCCGUCGCACCUACCGAUUGAAUGGUCCGGUGAAGUCUCCGGACUGAGUACUUCUAGUACUUGGGAAGUUGACUAAACCUUACUAUUUAGAGGAAGGUGAAGUCGUAACA